UCCUUGGUGGUCCAGUGGUUAGGACUCCCCACUUCCAAUGUAGGGGGCCUGGGUUCGAUCCCUGGUCGGGGAA
rfam:TPA: Bos taurus chromosome 29, whole genome shotgun sequence.